rnacentral:rRNA from 1 species
UACGUAGGUGGCAAGCGUUAUCCGGAUUUACUGGGUGUAAAGGGCGUGUAGGCGGGAGAGCAAGUCAGACGUGAAAUUCCAGGGCUCAACCCUGGAACUGCGUUUGAAACUGUUCUUCUUGAGUGAUGGAGAGGCAGGCGGAAUUCCUAGUGUAGCGGUGAAAUGCGUAGAUAUUAGGAGGAACACCAGUGGCGAAGGCGGCCUGCUGGACGAUGACUGACGUUGAGGCUCGAAAGCGUGGGGAGCAAACAGG